rnacentral:rRNA from 1 species
UACGUAGGGGGCUAGCGUUGUUCGGAUUCAUUGGGCGUAAAGGGUGCGUAGGCGGUCGCGUAAGUCAGGUGUGAAAUCUCGGGGCUCAACCCCGAAACUGCACUUGAUACUGCGUGGCUCGGGUACUGGAGAGGAGACUGGAAUUUACGGUGUAGCAGUGAAAUGCGUAGAUAUCGUAAGGAAGACCAGUGGCGAAGGCGAGUCUCUGGACAGUUACCGACGCUGAGGCACGAAGGUCAGGGGAGCAAACGGG